ensembl:lncRNA
AAGACAGACCAACAAAGAUUCUCGAAGCUUACCCAUGUUUCAGAGAAGUGGAUCAUGUUUUGGAUGAAUUGCGGAGAAUUAUUCAACCAUCCAAUUCCCGGUACAUCUCUGAGAUGAAGGAAAGAUGGGAAAACUUCUACUCAAAGGUGCAGUUCUAUGGUGUGAUGAAAAAACUCGUGAAGCCUCCAAACACAUUGAAUGGAGUGGAGCAUGCCACAGCUGUAUUCAGAGCCCUGCCACAGCUCUUCCCAUCCAGCACUGUGCCUCCUAAGAAGUUGGGUGCCAGCAGUGAGGCUCUUUUCCAUGUCCUUACGACUUCAGAAGACCCUGAUUGUUUCCUGCGCCAGCGACCUCUGUCUUGUCCAUUUGUGCUUGUCUCUGAAGACAACUGCAUGAUCGCCGUGGGAAGCACACCAGUGACUACGUUCGACCGGGAGGAUCUUUAUGAGGGACUGCUCUAUGUCAUGGCAUAUUAUUAUGCCCUCCACCUCACGUACCCAAAGUGUAUUUCCACACUACUGUCUGUACUGCAAACUGAAAUUCUUCAAGAUUCCAUCCAUGACCGAGAUUCAACC